UAGGGAAUCUUCGGCAAUGGGGGCAACCCUGACCGAGCAACGCCGCGUGAGUGAAGAAGGUUUUCGGAUCGUAAAGCUCUGUUGUAAGAGAAGAACGUGUGUGAGAGUGGAAAGUUCACACAGUGACGGUAACUUACCAGAAAGGGACGGCUAACUACGUGCAAGCAGCCGCGGUAAUACGUAGGUCCCGAGCGUUGUCCGGAUUUAUUGGGCGUAAAGCGAGCGCAGGCGGUUUAAUAAGUCUGAAGUUAAAGUCACUGGCUUAACCAUUGUUCGCUUUGGAAACUGUUAAACUUGAGUGCAGAAGGGGAGAGUGGAAUUCCAUGUGUAGCGGUGAAAUGCGUAGAUAUAUGGGGGAACACCGGUGGCGAAAGCGGCUCUCUGGUCUGUAACUGACGCUGAGGCUCGAAAGCGUGGGGAGCAAACAGG
rnacentral:rRNA from 1 species